UAUUUUCCAUUUUUUUAUUAUAGUCAUUCUAGCAGUUGUGACCACGUGAUUUAUUUUUGAAUAUUACAUCUACCUAAAUACCUUUUACAUAUUGCUGGUUGCAAUUUGCUAAUCCUUUAAGGAUUUUGGUAUAUAUGUUCAUAAGGGAUAUUAGGUUGUAAAUUUCUUGUCUUGUCAUGUUUUUAUUUGGUGUCAUUAUAAGGGAAAUGCUGACUUCGUAAAAGGAAUUGGAUCUAUAUGCUCUAUUUCUAUUGUCUGAAAGUUUUAUGCAAUAUCAAUAUAAUUUCUUUUUAAAUUUGAGCUGGAAUUCACCAGUGAAGCCAUCUGGGCCUGGGGUUUUCUUUGUGGGAACGUUUAUAAUUAUGAACAUGAUUUCUUCAAUAAAUAUAGGGCUUUUUAGAUUUUACAUUUCUUGUCUCAGUUUUUGUAAUUUGGAAAUUGAGUUCUUGAAAACAGAAGAUGCCUGAGCAUGGCGGGUGGUUUAGACCUCAGUUUGAUGGGAACCAAAAGCAAAGCACAACAAUGUGGGAGGGUUUACUCAAACGGGAAGAGGGGGAAGAUGCUAGGCAGCCAUGUUUCCUAGUACCCUUGCUCUUAACGGUAUUUUUUUCAGACAGGAUGGGUGGGAGAAGAGGUCAUGGGGAGCCGGGUUGACUAGCAUUUCUGGAACAACACUGCCAUCGUGAGGCGAUAGCUGGAAAAAGCCCCGAGGCUGCUUCCCCGAGAUGGUUUUUAGCUUGAAAAUGUCCAUUCUGUGAGGUGGCUGUGCAGGCCUGGGCCUCAAACUGGAACUCAGUGCACCCUCCACAAGCCAAUUAGAUGCUUUGAACAGACAUGGGAUCAAGACGUAAAAGUCGGCCAGUAAGGGAGCAAGACGGAGCCAGUAGCCAUCAGGAAGGCCAGGCACAGGAAGUAGCGGGGUGGGGCCUUGGUUUGCUCCCACUGUGGGCGGAGCUAGAGGAAGCUGCUAACCAACAAGCGCAGGCCCUGUGGGCAUUGUUCUCUUCUGGUAGUUCACAGCAUGAGGCAGGCUAGCAUAUGGUGUUACUAUGAUCUGGGGCUGGGCCCUUUGAGUAGCAGAGUCUGAUCCUGGAGGACAAACCAGUUCCAGGUGGCAUAUAGCAGGAGACCAUGGACUUGCUGGAGGUCUCAGGUGCACCCAAAUGUCUGGAGGCCCGCUGCCUGGAGCUAAGAGGACCUGAAGAGAAGUGGAACCACCCAGCCGAGCCAAGAUGUUUAGAACUUCUGCUAGGGGAGCAGAUAUGCACAAACAGAUGGGGACAAAAACAGUGAAGAGUACUGAAGAUGAAUCCACAUUUUAAAAGUUCUUAUGUGCCGGAGGUGGCAUUACCUGUGACCUCGCUUCACUUCUUCAUACUUGGCUGCUGUAGCAGAAGGGAAGAAAUGUUGGUCUGAUGCUCUGCUGUGACUUUCCAGUGGCUCAAGAUCCUGUUGAGAUAUGACCUCUUCUGGACUCUGAUGACCCAGUCAGGCUAUCACAUCGAAAGCUAUCCCUCAGACUGGUCAUGGCUGAGUUCAAGAAUGGCCUGUGGACAGAGGUGCCACUUACAUGCAACAGUACCUUGGAUCCUAUGCCUCAAGAGCUCCAGGUAUCCUGUGAAGGGGAAAAAUGAUCUCUAACCUCCCCAGUGUAUUUCACCAAGGCUGAUCCAGAGAAAAAGUCUGGAUCAUAUGAGUUAGGCUGCCUCCUAUGGAGGAAUAGUUUGACCUGACCAUCUUCUUGGAAUAGUACAGCCAAGUAUAUGGGGACAGUGCACCAAAUCUGAAGCUAGAAAUAUGGAUGACAGCAGGGGUCCUCCUAGACCUUGAUGUUGUGUUCAUCCCUCUCUGAAUGUCUUUAAUAAAGGCCAUCUACCUGGGCAAUGGAUGGAAGCCUAGUUGAAUUCCAGUGAUUCCAUCGUGAAAUUGUGAACAGUGACAAGCUGAGACUGUGAGCAACUAUUGCCAAUGCUUAAUACUGUUUAACUAUUGACACAGAUCUCACACUGAGAGCUGAUCCAAAGUGAAAGAUAAAAGGAAAACAACCAAUGAGGAAAGCAAGCCAAGGCCCUUUCUAGAAUAACAAAGGGAGAAAAUCAAACUGUUGAACUCUGAGGAUCAAACCAUACGUGUUGGCUAACAACAGGAAGCAGAAACAGCCAACUCUCUGGCCAUGAAGAUGCCUCUCAGGCCUCAUACGGUAUCCGCUUUUUGGAGACUGAGCAUUCCAGGGCUGCAAAGACACUAGCUCGAAGAUUUUAAAGGAUGUUUAACAUUUAUUGGGAUUCACUGUGUACAAGAGGCAUCCUUACUCUGGUGUCUCUCUUCUGUAUCCCAGACAGCCUCAAUAACUGACGUCUUGGAGAGGAAGAAGCCCAGAUGUUGGAUUUACCACACAAAGCCUUUAAAUAAUCUAUUUUAAGUAUGUUCAAAGAACUAAAAGAAAUCAUGUCUAAAGAAUUAAAGCAAAGAAAUGAUGCCUCACCAAAUAGAGAAUAUCAGCAAAGAGGUAGAAAUUAUUAAAAAGAACCAAAUGAUAAUUUUGGAAUUGAAAUGUACAAUAACUGAAAUGAAAGCUUUGCUAAAGGAGCUCAACAGCAGACUUGAACUGACAGAAGGAAACUCUCACUGCCGUGGAGUCGAUCCUUACUCAUAGUGACCCUAUAGGAUAGAGUAGAACAGCCCCAUAGAGUUUCCAAGGAGUGGCGGUGGAUUUGAACUGCUAACCUUUUGGUUAGCAUCCCAGCUCUUUAACCACUGCGCCAGACAGAAGGAAGCCUUGAGCUUUAAAAUAGAUGAAUAGAGAUUAUGCAGUGUGAGGAACAAAAAGAAAGAAGAAAAAUGAACAGAGCCUUAGAGAACUGUGGGACAACAUGAAGCAUAUCAACACACAUAAUAUGAGUUCCAGAAAAAAAGGAGAGAGAGUAAGGGGAAGAAAGAGUAUUUGUGGAAUAAUGGCUGUAAACUUCUCAAAACAUGAGAAGAGAUCAAAGCUUCAUCUAAGGAUAGGGCAUUUCUCUAGGCCUGAGAAACUAGUUCCAAAUCCAGUCACUGCCUCCACCUCCUCCUGGACAUAGAGAAUUUUUCCCGGCCUUCCACUCCAUCUGUGGUCCCCAUCUGGAUGUGUGCAUCUCUUCCGCUAGCCGAAGUCAGGCUGAAUUAAUUAAAGUUUGCCCCUACUCCUAACUUCAUUACUUUAGGCACUGGGGCUUCAGAAUUUUGUGUGGCCUGAGACUUACAACAAGUAUACAGGAUGCUGCUAAAUUCGGCCUUUCCUUCAUGUUCUGACACUGUUAACAUAAAGGACACAUGUUAGCAAGGGGACACCACAAAAGAGCUUGCUCCAAAGGACAGGAACUGGAUACAAAUGUCCACAACGCCUGCAUCUGUAUUUGAGUGCCUUCGACUAGCCUGGCCCACACUGGAAGGAAAUCUAGGCCCUGCCACCACAAGUUUCUCUGCCUAACAGGCCUGGUGUUUGCUGACUCACUCUUGGCCCCUCACUGUCCAGGUUCUAUACCAAGAUUCAGCCAAUGCCCAGAUCUCCUGUAAGGCCUUAGAAAAGAAGGCAAAGAGGCCCAGUCUGGGGCCCAAGCCUGUUCCAUUUCCCCAUAGACCUGAUCUUUCUCAACAGUUAGGCCUCGCAGGAAAGAAAAUGGAAUGGCAUCGGAUAUGUUAAAACUAUUUCCGCACGAUGGCAGUAGUGCUGCAGGUAGGCCAACAUUCCCCGCCCCCAUGCGCUCUUCUCCCGCCCAUCUGGUCAGGAAAAAAUGCCACCAUAGACAGAGGCACCAGGAAACUUGGCUGCCUCGCGCCUUGUCCUGUUUAAGGAAAUCAGCUUAUACUGCUGCACUUUUCUUGUGGUUUUCAUCUGAAAUAAACUGAGAUGUAAACCAUCCACUCUCAUCAGGCAUCUUAUUCUUUUAUAAAUCAAAUUUCUACUGGCUGUCUGCUAUUCUUUUCUCAGCAUUAUGUGGCUAGCAUUUUCUCAUAGUAUGAUGUUUUGUAAGGUCAGUGGUUCGAACCCACACCAGCUGCUAUGCAGGAGACAGAUGUGGCAGUCUGCUACCAUAAAGAUUUACAGCCUUGGAAGCCAUUCUACUCUGUCCUAUAGACUCCCUAUGAGUCCAAAUUGACUUGAAGGCAAUGGGUUCGGUUUGGCAUUUAUGAUAUUUUCUGCCUCAAGGCGUUAGACUGAGGCAUCUAAUUUAAAAGGGAGAAGAGAAUACUGGAAACUCAAGGCCUGUGGGAAGACAUCUCUAGCCAUCCCACUCAACUCCUAGGCUCUCAGAGAUUCCUCUUUCAUUUUUGUCCUUGCACUUUUACAUAUGGCGGUGUUAAGUGCCCCAUAAGGUUUUCUCAGUGAUUAUCAUUAUGGUAGCAGAUCGCCAGGUGCUUCUCUUGCUGAGCUGCUGAAUGAGUUCAAACCACCAAGCUUUUGGUUAGCAACCUAGCCGAGCACUUAACCAUUGUGACACAAGGGAUCCUUUACUUUUACAUGUAUUGGGUGGGAAGUAGACUUCUUUUCAAGCCCAACAACAGGGCUUAGUUAGUUCUCAGGAUUGUAUUUCAUGCAAUGCCUCACAUGGAGUGACACUAACAAUGACGAUAUUAUACACUCUUUCAAAAUAGACCCUUUUAAUCUCAUUUUUCAUCAGUUAAGAUUGCAAUAGAAGAACUUUCCGAUAUCAUUAGUUUUUUACUUACUCCUGUAUCUUAAUUUGUCUUUAUUAUUUGUUGAUCAGUGUUACCAUUCUUUUUUCGGUAGAAAAAUAAUACUUUUUAUUUCUGAAAGGAUUCAGAAACUAAGGAAAUGCUGAGCAAAAAGAAAAGCCCUGAUUUAAAUUGACCACGUGAAAUAAAAAAAUAGUUGCCAUAGAGUUGAUUCCGACUCAUUGCGACCCCAUGUGCGUCUGAAUAGAAGUGCGCUCCAUGGAGUUUUCCAUGGCUGAUUUUUUGGAAAGAGAUAGGUCUUUCUUCCAAGGCACCUCUGGGAUGGACUCAAACCUCCAGCCUUUCAGUUAUCUGCCAAGCAUGCUAACCAUUUGCACCACCCAGGGAUUCCAUCUCAAAAUAUGCACUGAUUAAAUUUGGGGGUAUUUGCUUCUGAUUCUAUUGAUAUAACACACAGAGAAAUGAAUUAUUCAAUUAAUAAACAAUUUACUGAUUAAGUAUAGCACCUUAUAUCCCCCAAUUACAGAAUGAGGGGUUUUUUUUAUAUAUAAAUUCUCAUAAUAUUUAUAAUAACUAGUCAUUUAUCUGGCACAAAAUAUGAUUCAGUGUAUUAAAAUAAUAGACAUUUAGCAGUUUACAUUCUCUGGCCAUAGUCCAAUAAAUUUAGAAUUAAUUAAUGAAAAAUUAUCAAAAAACUUACUAUUUUGAAACUAAGAAACAUAGUCUGAGAUUUCCUUUGAAUCAAAUAGCAGUUCAAAAGGGAACAUGCAUAACAUCUAGGAAGGAAUGAAAGAAAGAACACAUCAAAACAAAUCCUAUGAUGUCUGCAGAUACUUUAUUCGGAGAACAGCUUUCAUCCAUAAAUGUUUUUAUCAAUAAAGAAGUUUAAAAAAAUUGAAGAAAUAUGACAAAAUAAUGAACCCAUCUAACUAAAUGUUAAUAAGCAACCAAAAAGACUAGAAAGACUAAAUUGUUAUACAAAUUAAGUCAAUGAAAUUAAAAAUACAUAAUAGAAAUAAACGAAUCCCAAACUGAUUCUUUGAAAAUAUCAAUAAAAUAUAUCAACCUUUCGUGAGUCUGAUUAAAGUAUAAAGUAAGAACCAUAAAAUAUUUAAGAUUAAGUAUGAGGAAGGCACCUUCAGCUAAGGCCAAAUGAGAUUAGCAAAUCCUCUCCCCAAAGAGUUAUAAAAAUGGAUAAAUUUGACACAGACAACUACUUUUGUGCUCUGGAAAUCAAUUAAAAUAAUACGACAACAUUAAACUUUGGAUUUGAGAAGUUGGAAUCUGUGGCACUCUGGACUGUUCCUGCUUCUGUCUCCUCCCCUCCUCCCAUCUUCCAUCACAGUCAGUAAGGAGGUUCUGCCAGGGUGAAAUAAAGACCUUCCCAGAUAAUUCCUUUCUAGUUGACCUGUCUUACAGAAAAUCCCAAAGGAAGUCCUUUAGACUGAAAGGAAAUGACUCUAGUUGGUGACUCGAAUCCACGGAGACAAAUGAAGGGCUCAGGAAAUGGUAAAUAGGUAGAUUAAUAUAGAAGACUCUACAUUUUUUUCCCUCAUUUUUACCUCUUAAGUUAUUUAAAAGACAUAAGACUAUAUAAACCAAGAAUUAUUAUACUAUAUUGUUGGCUUUAUAAGAUAUAUAGAUGAAUUAUAUGAUAAUAACAGCACAAAUUGAGGGGAUGUGGAGCUAUACAGGAGCAACGUUUCCACAUUUUACUGGAAGUAAGUUAGCAUUAAUCUAGUUUAGAUUUUGAUAGGUUAAAAAAAAUACUGGAAUCUCUAGUACAAUCACCAAAAAAUUAACUCCAAAAUAUAGUAAAAAAUUCAAAGAGAAAUUAAAAUGGUACAUGAAAAAAUAUUUAGCUAACACAAAAGAAGUUACCCAAGGUGGAACAGAGGAACAACAACAACAAAAGAUAGGAGACAGAAAACAAAUAGAAAAAUGGCAAACAAAUUCAACUAUAUCAAUAAGUAUGUUAAGUAUUAAUGGUUCAAACACCCCGAUUAAAAGAAGUUUCAGACUGAAUAAAAAAAUAAGAUCAAAGCGUAUGCUGCAUGAUGACGUACCUUAGAUUCAAAGACACAAAUAGAUUGAAAGUAGAAGAAUGGAAAAAGACUGGUAAAUGAUAAUCAUAAGAGAGCUGGAGUGGCUAUAUUAAUAUAAAAAUAGAUUUAAGACAAGAGAUACUACCAAACACAAAGAAGGAAAUUGCAAAAUUAUAACAGGAUCAAUAAAUAAGGAAGAUAUGACAGUUAUAAUGUAUUCAUACCUAAAAACAGACCUUCAAGUAACACAAAGCAAAAGCUGACAGAAUGGAAAGGAGGGAUAGACAAUUCAACAAUAAUCGUUGGAAAUUUCUAUAUCCCACUCUCAAUAAUUGAUGGAGCAACUAAACAGACAAUCAGCAAGGAUAUAGAACACUUGAACUACAAACAACGUCAACUAACUUCGCUUAACUGACAUAUAUAAAACAUUCCACACAAAGAUUGCAGAAUACACAUUCUUUUUGAGCACACAUGGAACAUUCUUCAGGGUAGAACAUAUGCUGGACCACAAAGCAAGUAUUGAUAAAUUUAGAAAUUGAAAUCAUACAAAGUAUAUUCUCUGACCGCGAUAAAAAUGAAUUAGAAACCAACAACAGACAGAAAUUUGAGAUGCCCACAAAUACUUGGGAAUUAAGCAGCACACUUUUUAAUAACCAAUGAAUCAAAGAAGAAACCACAAGGGAAAUUAGAAGAUACUUUGAACAGAAUGAAAAUGAAAACAAUAUAACAAAAUUUUUGGAAUACAGUUACAACAAUGCUUAGAAAUUUGUAGCUUUAAAAAUCUAUAUCAGAAUAGAAGAAAAGUUUCAAAUCAAUAACUUUGCUUGCCCCUUAUGAAACUAAAAAGAAGAGCAAACUAAGUCCAAAUCAAGCAGAAGAAAAUAAAUAAUAAACAUGAGAAUGGAGAUCGAUGAAACAGAAAAUUGAAAAAAAGAAAAUCAAUGAAAUAAGAAGUUCAUUCUUUGGAAAAAAGGCAAUAGACAAACCUUUAACUAGACAAAGAAAAAAAGAGAACAGAAACAAUUACAAAAUCAGCAAUGAAACUGGGACAUCACUACUGAGCAUACAUAUAUGAAAGGAUUAUAAGGGAAUAUUAGGACAGCUGUAUGCCAACAAAUUAGACAAUUUAGAUAAAUGAACACACUCCUAAAAAGGCACAAAUCAUGAAAAUACAUCUAAUAAAAAAAUAUGAAUAGACCUACAUCAAGUAAAUAGUUUAAAUUAGUAAUUAAAAAUCUUUCCAAGUCAACACACAAUACAGGAGAGGUCAUCACAACUGGGCUAAACCAAAAGCAAAGAAGUUUCCUGAAUAAACUGAACGCUUCGAAGGCCAGCAUAACAGGGGUGGGGGUUUGGAGACCAUGGUUUCAGGGGACAUCUAAGUCAACUGGCAUAAUAGAAUCUAUUAAGAAAACACUUUCCAUCCCACUUUGGAGAGUGGCGUCUGGGGUCUUAAAUGCUAGCAAGUGGCCAUCUAAGUUGCAUCAAUGUGUCUCAACCCACCUGGAGCAAAGGAGAAUGAAGAACACCAAAGACACAAGGUAACUAUGAGCCUAAGAAACAGAAAGGGCCACAUAAAGCAGAGACUACAUCAGCCUGAGACCAGAAGAACUAGACGGUUCCCGGCUACAACCCAUGAUUGUCCUGACAGGAACACAACAAGGAACCCCCGAGGGAGCAGGAGAGCAGUGGGAUGCAGACACCAAAUUCUUGUAAAAAGACCACACUUAAUGGUCUGAGAAUAGAAUGACCCUGGAGGUCAUGGUCCCCAGACCUAGUGUUAGCCCAAAACGAGCCAUUCCUAAAGCUAACUCUUCAGACAGGGAUUGGAGUGGACUAUGGGAUAGACAAUGAUACUGGUAAAGAAUGAGCUUCUUGGAUCAAGUAGACCCAUGACACUAUGUUGGCAUCUCCUGUCUGAAGGGGAGAUGAGAGGGUCGGGGGGGGGGGCGGUCAGAAGCUGGCCAAAUUGAUACAAAAAGAGAGAAUGGAGGGAAGGAGUGUUCUGUCUCACUAGGGGGAGAGCAAUUAGGAGUAUAUAGCAAGGUGUUUAUAAAUUUUUGUAUGAGAGUCCGACUCGAUUUGUAAACUUUCACUUAAAGCACAAUAAAAAUUAAAACAAAAAAAUCUUUCUGUAAGCCCAGGCCCAAGUGGCUUUACUGGUGAAUUUUAAAAAAUAUUUCAAAAUACAUAAUACCAGUACUUCACAAAUUAUUUCAGAAAAUAGGGGAGGAGGGAACAUUUCCCAAUUCAUCCUAUCAGGCCAGUGUUGCUGACACCAAAGCCAGCCAAAGACAUCACAAGAAAAGAAAACUACAGACCAAUGUCCCUCAUGAACAUAGACACAAAAAUACUUAACAGAAUAUUAGUAAUCUUAAUCUAGCAACAUGUAAAAAGGAUGAUACACCAGGGCCUUGUGGGAUGUAUCCCAUGAAUGCAAGGUUGGUUUAACCUCUAAAAAUCAGUUAAUACACUAAACAAUAUUAAUCAAAUAAACAACUAAAAUCAAAUGAUUAUCUCAGUAGAUGCAAAAAAAAAAAAGAUAAAGCCCAACACUCAUUUACGAUAAAAAGACUCAACAAACUAAGAAUAGAAGGAAACUUCCUUAACCUGAUAAAGAUCAUGUAUGAAAAACCUACAACUAACAUCAUACUUAAUGUUGAAGAAAUAUAUCGUUCCCCCAAGAUUGCUAACAUGGCACAGAUGUUGGCUUUUGGCACUUCUCUUUCAAAAUUGUACUAGAUAUCCUAUCCAGUGCAAUAAGGCAAAAAAAAAAAAAAAAUUAAA